UCUCUCUUUCUUCUCUCUCUUUUUCUUCCCUCUCUCUCUCUUCAAAGAUCGGAUCUGUUUGAAAAGAAACAGGAGAGGUGGCAAGAGAAGAAGAAGAGGGAGAAGAG
rnacentral:ribozyme from 13 species